rnacentral:misc_RNA from 1 species
GAAAUGCGAUAAGUAAUGUGAAUUGCAGAAUUCAGUGAAUCAUCGAAUCUUUGAACGCACAUUGCGCCCGCCAGUAUUCUGGCGGGCAUGCCUGUUCGAGCGUCAUUUCAACCAUCAAGCCCCCGGCUUGUGUUGGGGACCUGCGGCUGCCCGCAGGCCCUGAAAAACAGUGGCGGGCUCGCUGUCACACCGAGUGUAGUAGCAUACAUUCUCGCUCAGGGCGUGCUGCGGGUUCCGGCCGUUAAACGACCUUCAUAACCCAAGGUUGACCUCGGAUCAGGUAGGAAGACCCGCUGAACUUAAG